rnacentral:lncRNA from 1 species
CCUGGCCAGGUGCCCCUGGAGACGAUGCUGCUGGGACACGCGGUAAGACUGUUCUGUGCUUCGUGCAGGGUCCUCGCGGGAGGAAUGGCCUCAAGGGUGACAAAGGAGGUGUGGGAGAGCCGGGGAAACCCGGCUUGCCAGGCCCUGUAGGGCUAGAUGGUGUUCCUGGACUGCCUGGACCAAGGGGAGAAAAGGGGAUGGCAGGAACUGGCCUUCCCGGCACUGCUGGCUUGAAGGGAGAAGAAGGAGAACAGGUGGGUUGGCAAUUUUUCAGAGAGUUUUGCAGCAAAAGUCCCCCAGGUCUCUGCAGUCUCCUCCAAUACCCCUUCUCUAGGUUUUCCUUGGAGGGCAUGUCCUGUGGUUGCAAAUGGGAAGGGACAGAGGAGUGAAGACUUUGGGCCUUAAAGUCUGAGCUUUUGCUCUUCCUUCUGUUUUGUAGGGGGUAAUGGGUCCUCCAGGAGUACCAGGACCAAAGGUGGGUACUGAAAGAUAUUCAAAUAGGCUGAACCUGAGUCUCUGUGCCUCCUGCUCAGGUGCCAAGGAAAGCAUCUGGCUCUAACCAUCAUUGCAGGCUGCAGGAACAUUGCCUCCUUACUCAAAAGUGAUGAAAGGAAAUAAUUUUACCUGUCAGCAGUCACUGACCUGUGGAACUUGUUGCUGCAGGAUGUUGCAGAGACCUGGAAUGGUAGCAAGAUGCAGUAUUUUAAUAAAUUAAUAAAUGACGUUUUUGUGGCUGGGAAG